GUAGGUGGCAAGCGUUGUCCGGGAAUUAUUGGGGCGUAAAGCGCGCGCAGGCGGUUCUUUAAGUCUGAUGUGAAAGCCCACGGGCUCAACCGUGGAGGGUCAUUGGAAACUGGAGAACUUGAGUACAGAAGAGGAAAGCGGAAUUCCACGUGUAGCGGUGAAAUGCGUAGAGAUGUGGAGGAACACCAGUGGCGAAGGCGGCUUUCUGGUCUGUAACUGACGCUGAGGCGCGAAAGCGUGGGGAGCAAACAGGAUUAGAUACCCUGGAAGUCCACGCCGUAAACGAUGAGUGCUAAGUGUUAGGGGGUUUCCGCCCCUUAGUGCUGCAGCUAACGCAUUAAGCACUCCGCCUGGGGAGUACGGCCGCAAAGGCUGA
rnacentral:rRNA from 1 species